CUUCACUCUUCGCAUUCAUUCAUGCAUCAGUGACACUUCAUUUGUUUUAUAAAACCACAUUGAGCAUAACUUAUAAAUCAACAAUCAAUAAAACAACAAGGAAAAUCUAACAAAUCAAUUUAAUAGUGAACAAACACUCUGAUCUUUAAAGUGGACUUCAGUUAAGAUGGAGGAGAGGCAAAUGCUGCUCAUGAUGCUCAUCACAGUUUCAGGUGGAUUUGCAGAUAAAAUUGGACCAAAAGAUGGAAUUACUAAUGUAAUCAAAGAAGAAGGAGAGUCUGUGACACUGAGCUGCACAUAUGAAACUAACAGCAAUGAUAUUUGGCUUAACUGGUACAGACAGUAUCCAAACAGAGAACCAGAAUAUUUACUGUAUAAAGGUGCUCGAUCACGGAGCAGUGAGGAAGAUAUACCAGACGGUUUUCAGUCGAAAACAUCCCAAACAUCCACUGAACUCACUAUUAACAGUGUGACUCUGUCAGAUUCAGCUCUCUAUUAUUGUGCUCUUGAAGUAGCAGCCCAGUGAUACAAAGUGCCUGAGAAGCUUUACAAAAACUCAUACAAAAUUAAUGCUUUGAAGUGUCUUUAAUCAAUCUGUAUCAUGUUACUGUAAACCACAAACAGUGAAUGUGGUGACAGCUGUGAAUUUGGGAGGUUACAUAAGGGCAUGUGAA